AGCAAAGGUUGCUCGACAAGAUAGUUUAGCACGGUUUCUUAGAAACAGACCAACUCGUAUAGAACUGGUGGAGAAAAACAUCAUUCAGGAAAAGUCUUCUACGCAGAAGGUGGAAGAUCGCAAUGCCAUUGGUAGCAAGCUAAUCAGGCGACUGAGUCUACGACCCACACAGGAGGAAUUAGAACAAAGAAACAUUUUGCACACUCAGAGUAUUGACCAAGCUGAAAAGGACAAAGAGGAAAAGAAAAGAUACCUCAUAAGGAAGCUAAGCUUUAGACCCAGCAUAGAGGAAUUGAAGGAGAGGAAGAUUAUCAAGUUCAAUGACUAUGUGGAGUGGACAGACGCCCACGAAUACGAUCGACGGGCCGACAAGCCUUGGACUAGGCUAACUCCAAAGGAUAAAGCUGCCAUAAGAAAGAACUGAAUGAAUUUAAAAGUAAAGAAAUGGCUGUUCAUGAGGAGAGCAAACACUUAACAAGAUUUCAUCGCCCUUGACAAUAGUUCCUCGGAUAUUUUCUGUUUGUAUUGUCUAUGAACAAGGGGCCUCAGACACUGUUAUUUUGAGCAGCUGGUCCUGUAUAUUUAAUUGUUUGCUCACAGCACAACACGGUCAGGGAGUCCGCUCACAGCCUCAGUUUGAUUUCUCUGUGAUGACCCGUCUUUCACCGCUUUGUGUAGUGUUUCCUUUCCUUAUCAUUUCACAGUAUCGAGCUUUAGCUAGAAAAUUGAUUUUUUUUUAUUUUACCGGUACUUGUAUAAUUUUUUCUUUUAAACCUGAAAUUCACCUCUAAUGAUUUUGGUGUCCGCAAGUUUUAACCAUGUUGUUAAGUGACUCCCAUAGAGAAAAGGACUUGAUUUUGUGUGCAAUAUGAAGAUUUGCCAUAACAGUAUCUGUGACUGCACAAAGAGCAGCAUGCUGGUCCUCUUCAGAGAUGUUCGCGAUGUGAAGCACUUUAUAGAUUAAGCCUCAUGAUUAUGUCCAACAAAACUAUAUACAUGCCUGUAUUUUUAUGUUUUGAGCAGUUUGAACAAGAGAGCAUCUGAUGGUUCCGCAUCAUAUUUCAAUGGUUUCACAACUUGUAUUGAAAGAACAAUACAAUGCACAAAAAGUGACUAGACUUUAAAGGAACCUAAAAGUUUUUAAGAUGUUGUACUUGUUUUUGGCUCUUUUUGAUGAAAAUAUGUUGCAUAAGGCAUUGAAAGAGAGAUAACAUCAAUUAUUUUUUUCGUCAGAUUCAUGAGAACAGACAACAUAAAUAUGUGCGUGAGCCUCAUUUUGCGUGUAUGUGUGUGUGUGUGUAAGUUAUGCAUUGUGAUGAAAACUGAUAUUCAAGAUCUAUUUUUAAGGUUUAGGUGUUUGUUACUUAGAUGCUUCAAAGAAUUUUUUUUUACACAGCGUUUGCUUCUUUAAAUAAUUUAGCUUAACAUUAAUUCACCAGUUGUCCUCAUGCAUUGUCAAAAUAUUUUUUUUUCUAUAUUCAUUUUGGGAAAACUACUUAAACUCCUGAGCAACACAUGCAUGUAUUUGUAUUCUGUAGGAUGGAAAAACAACUAGAGGCUAUUUAUACUAACUCAGCUUUAAACGAUUGAUGACUAAUUUAAAUUCAAAAGAGUUAUUAGCAGUAGAACUGUGUGUUACAUGAUUUGUUUAUAUCAUCUUUUUAUAAUUGUCUGGCUGAGUGUUGUUAGGAGAUGUACAGGUCAUCACCAGUGAUGUAAACGCUUACGCUGUUGUACAUAAAUCGCUUACUAUUGUUAAUUUAUGAUCAGUUAUAGUGCUAAGCAGCAUUGACUUCAUUUGCGUACCACUCUGCUCGUCAUUUUCAACUAACUGACCAUCAACUGGUAUAUAGAGAGUAAAUUGGGUACAGCUGAAUGGUGCAUUGUAUCAUAUUGCAGCCAGAUCAUCAAUUCACGUUCAUUCCAUCAUUACAUUUUGUCCGAAGGAAUAUUGAAUUCACUUCUGAACAUUUCUGUGAUAAUGUUAAUCAUUUAUUCUCAUCUUUUAGAAACAGUGAUGUACUGAUGGUAAUUUUUGUUAACUAUUCAUCGUGUGUACAUGUCAGAUGAUAGAAAUAAAAUGUAAACAUGUACAGCCUUAACCUGUCAAACUUUAUACUACAUCACUUUGUGAAUAUGGGCUAUAGAUGUAACAGUACUUGGGUUCAUAAAUUUUGCCCAUCAUUUUAUACUGUUAAUACAGUCAAGUUAAUGAAUAAAUUAUAUGAAAUACC
rnacentral:sRNA from 1 species